rnacentral:rRNA from 1 species
ACGACGCUGGCGGCGUGCCUAAUACAUGCAAGUCGAGCGAAUCUUUGGGAGCUUGCUCCCAUUGGUUAGCGGCGGACGGGUGAGUAACACGUGGGCAACCUGCCUGUAAGACUGGGAUAACUUCGGGAAACCGGAGCUAAUACCGGAUAAUUCUUUUCCUCUCAUGAGGAAAAGCUGAAAGUCGGUUUACGCUGACACUUACAGAUGGGCCCGCGGCGCAUUAGCUAGUUGGUGAGGUAACGGCUCACCAAGGCGACGAUGCGUAGCCGACCUGAGAGGGUGAUCGGCCACACUGGGACUGAGACACGGCCCAGACUCCUACGGGAGGCAGCAGUAGGGAAUCUUCCACAAUGGACGAAAGUCUGAUGGAGCAACGCCGCGUGAGCGAUGAAGGCCUUCGGGUCGUAAAGCUCUGUUGUUAGGGAAGAACAAGUACCGGAGUAACUGCCGGUACCUUGACGGUACCUAACCAGAAAGCCACGGCUAACUACGUGCCAGCAGCCGCGGUAAUACGUAGGUGGCAAGCGUUGUCCGGAAUUAUUGGGCGUAAAGCGCGCGCAGGCGGUCCUUUAAGUCUGAUGUGAAAGCCCACGGCUCAACCGUGGAGGGUCAUUGGAAACUGGGGGACUUGAGUGCAGAAGAGGAAAGCGGAAUUCCACGUGUAGCGGUGAAAUGCGUAGAGAUGUGGAGGAACACCAGUGGCGAAGGCGGCUUUCUGGUCUGUAACUGACGCUGAGGCGCGAAAGCGUGGGGAGCAAACAGGAUUAGAUACCCUGGUAGUCCACGCCGUAAACGAUGAGUGCUAAGUGUUAGGGGGUUUCCGCCCCUUAGUGCUGCAGCUAACGCAUUAAGCACUCCGCCUG